AAAGAGAUGAAGAAUGGGCUAAAACUCCGUUCCAACUGUUAGAGUUGGUACCUGACUGCCAGAAGCUGGGACUGGACAACAGGAGCUGGAUCAUUCAAUAUUUGCCCUAUUAUGUUCAUUCCCUCUGAAGCAUCUGGCACUCGCCACUGUCAGAAGACAGGAUACUGGGCUAGAUGGACUAUUGGUCUAACCCAGGUUGGCCGUUCUUUUGUUCUUAUAAUACCCCAAUAUUGCGAUAUGGGACAUUGUGCUGCUGGAGAAGGUGCCAUCGUAUGGAUGAGAUGGAAAGCAGAGGGCCUGACUGCUUGUGUUCGUGAAUCUAGUGCUUAUGAAAAAUGCCACAUUGGCAAACCUGUGAAGCCACAUAUUUAUCCACCGAAGAGGAGCAGCAUGGGCAGCAAGCAGUAGGGAAAGCUUCCCCACACUGAUUCAACUUGGAGGAAGAGCUUGACAGGAAGUUCAGUUGUUUACAUUCAUUCAAUCAUAUUCAGGUACCAGUAAUAAGGAAUUCAGUAAGUGUUAAUUAUGGUGAUGUUUUAGAGAAAGGAUAACGAUGCACUAGAAACUGAAAUGCUAUUGCCUACUUAUCCUAUAUAGGCUACCAUAAAACAAAAAAAGAAGCCAUCAUGUGGUGACAAAUCAAUCAACUAAUAGCCUGGACCAAAUUUAUACUGAGGUCUUAGAGAUAAAAAUCUUCAUAUCCAUUUAUCAGUCCUUUGAACCAUCCAUUCCCCCUAUGUUUUUAUGCUUGUAGCUCUUGUUGUGCCACGGUCUUUCAUCAAACUUUCACUCUUUCUUCAUGUAAGAUCCCGGUCUGUGGUAGAUAAGGGGUCAGAAUCUGAACUUGUAACCCAGUUGAAAUUUUGCAUCCGGCAUGUAGUUCUCUAAUGCUAAAGCAAAACCAGUGAAGCAAAUGACCUCAAAUGAUGGAAUGAUCAAAAUUCAAAUCCAAAUCUGAAUUUUUGCUCAACCCCGUCUAUGCUAACUAUAUAACUCCUAUGUACAAACACAUCUUGAAAUGAAUAUGUUAAAGCUGGAUAUUGAGCCAGAGAUUAACAAAUAGUAGAAUAACAUCAGAGUCGUUGUAUUUUCUGUUGAGUAAAAAUGCUUAGAAUAAUUUACUAUUGUAUGAAGUAAUGCAGCUGUCUUACUUAAAAUAUUCCUCCCUUCCACAUGGAGAGAGAAAUGACCACAAGAAGUGUUCCAGAAAGCCAUUUCAUUCCCAUGUGGCUUGUUUUGCUAAAUGAAUUACA